UAAUACGAAGGACCCGAGCGUUAUCCGGAUUCAUUGGGUUUAAAGGGUGCGUAGGCGGUAUAGUAAGUCAGUGGUGAAAUCCUGCAGCUUAACUGCAGAACUGCCAUUGAUACUGCUAAACUUGAGUACAACUGAUGUGGGCGGAAUAUGACAUGUAGCGGUGAAAUGCUUAGAUAUGUCAUAGAACACCGAUUGCGAAGGCAGCUCACAAAAUUGUUACUGACGCUGAGGCACGAAAGCAUGGGGAUCGAACAGGAUUAGAUACCCUGGUAGUCCAUGCCUUAAACGUUGAUCACUAGAUGUUAGCGAUACACUGUUAGCGUCCAAGCGAAAGCGAUAAGUGAUCCACCUGGGGAGUACGGUCGCAAGAUUG
rnacentral:rRNA from 1 species